CAAGUACUCCCUCCGUCCGGAAUUACUUGUCAUCAAAAUGGAUGUGUCUAGAACUAAAAUACAUCUAGAUACAUCCAUUUCAAUGACAAGUAUUUUCGGACGGAGGGAGUNAAAU
rnacentral:pre_miRNA from 1 species